ensembl:lncRNA
AAAACUGAACAUAAGGUCUGAUGGUAAUAAUGUUGAGAAAACAAUUUCUACUUAUUUCUCUUUCUUAAACUGACUUACUGUUUCUAUAAAGAUCAAUAAUAGAAAUCUAAAUACUAAACAUAAUGUUUCAUCUUUCAUUUUUUAUAGCGGCACUUGUGUUUCUCGCCUGUGUUCAUUUUAAUGAGCAUAUGCAAAUGCAGAAGUGCAGAAACAGAAUCCUUGAAGACUGAGAUGAAUUCUACUACGCUUGCCAACUGAGGGUGAGUAGGAAUUAAUAGAACUCAUCCAAAUGCUUUCAUUUGAUAACUGCAGCAUUAUGCUUUGAUUACACCAACUUAUAUUCCUCAUGAAAUAGUAAUACCAUCCGACUUAUCCAAUCUGACAGAAACUAUGCAUUUUCUCUUAGUGAUUUCAUAUGAAUAUCUGUCUACUGUAGGACAAGACUAAGAGCUUACUUAAUUUUUUUAGGUCUAUUUUGUACACAGUUUAUCACAAUUUAGCUCUAAUUAUCUGUUGUGCAGCUCUACUAGCCACUUGAUAGCCCAAUAGAGUGAACGCUUAAAUUACUAAAUUAAAUUAAGUCUCAAGUCCUGCUAAAUCAUAUAAUGUCGAAGCUAUAGAUUUAUCUGCAUGUUAAAGUAUGUGUAUGUUGUCUGUGUGCCAUACCUCUUUACUCUCACUGCCAACAAAAUCAUCCUCCAGACGUGCAUCUUUGCGCUCUCCUUCUGUUACCAGCUUGUGACCUUUAAGGCCAAAGGUGAAAUCCUCAACAGGGUUGCUGCUAGCCUGAUUCUUUCUGGCUGAGUGCGGGCAUGAGGAGAAAGUGAAGACUUCCUCUUAGUUUUCAUCAUCGCAGAGAGAGAGCUCAGUUUCUGUGUCACAAAGGGCAGCAUCAUCUGUAGUCAGCAGACGCUCUGGAGGUGAAGCAGCACAUGGAGGUUUGAAGGCUGACCCAGAUGUAUCUGCACUAGAAGCACAGUCUGCAGAAAUAUGACAGGAAGAUUUACAGAUGUGCUGCUCUUCCUGGUGGUGAGCGGAGGGGGUCUGAUAACUUUUGACCCGAAAGCAAUAUGGGACGAGUCCUGCGGUGUAGGACCCCUUGUGAUGGAUGCUUUGACACCAGGUGUCUCUUCUAGUAAACAGACAUGCACAAAACACUUACAAAAUCUUAGCUGAUAUAACCCUAUAAACCCCACAUUUAUAUUUGAUAUGCAAAUUUCUGAGGCUUCUNAGACCCGAAAGCAAUAUGGGACGAGUCCUGCGGUGUAGGACCCGUUGUGAUGGAUGCUUUGACACCAGCUGUCUCUUCUAGUAAACAGACAUGCACAAAACACUUACAAAAUCUUAGCUGAUAUAACCCUAUAAACCCCACAUUUAUAUUUGAUAUGCAAAUUUCUGAGGCUUCUAAAUUAUAUAAAAUGUAAUACAAUAAGUUUUAAAUUUAUUAAAGCUACAAAGCCUUGGUUAUAAAACUAAGUAUUUAAAUAUCAUCUUACUAAGAAAUAUUAUUGGGCGAAAUAAAGUGAUUACUGAUAUUUGUAAGUAGUUUGAU